rnacentral:snoRNA from 1 species
CUGCAAAUAUUCUCACUGUUCUGAUUUUGUAAUAAUCAGGACAGAUUAAACAUUCUCUAUAUUAAGACCGUGCAUGUGUACCCAGACCUAGCACUUUCCCUAGGCUUGUUUUUUUUUUAAUGGUGUAUGAU